ACAGCCCUGCCACGCGCUGCCGCGAGGGGCGCUGCCGGGCGCGCGGGCACCACGAGCGCCGCCGCCCGAGGGGCGGGGCCGGAGCCGGGGCCGGGCGCCGCGGUCGCGAUGGCAACGCGGGCCGGGCCGUGGAUCCGCUCGGUCCGGCGCCGCCGCCCGGGGGCCGCCGGAGGGGACCGCCGAGCUGCAGGCCCAGGCACAGGCGAGGCUGCGGGCAGAGCGGGGCGGCUGGGAAGCCCAGACAAGCGGCGGGGGGAUAGCAACUUGUCACGGCGAUUAUUCCGGGAGAUUGAGCUGCCGCACCAUACAAUAUCACACAUACAUGAGGAGAUGUGUGAGCACAUGUGUGUAGGUACACUGUGUGUUAGAUGUCCUGGUGUGUUUCUGCCUGAGAAACACGUUUUUCUCAGUGCUCACAUCUUGGAACAACACGAAGAGACAGACUGCCUUCCUCCUGUUUUCCCUCUCUUCUUUCAUGAGAAAAUGUGCAUUGAAAAGGUAAUGUAAUAAAGUUUGAAUUAACUCAGCUUGUGUCUUCAGUAGGGGGUGACUUUGCAUUUUAUGAAGAGAAUGCACAAGACUUUCUGUUCCCAGAGCAGAAGCUGACUUCUGCAUAUCCUGCUGUGAGCAGAGAAUUGCUGAUGAAAACUACUCAUUUCCCAGUGAGUUGCCUAAAACUGGUACUUAUCCUAUGUGUUUGACAAGGAAGGAAUUCACACACUUAGGAGCAACUUUGUGAGGACUGGAGUUUGACUGUCCUUUUGGUCCUCUUGAGCAGAGGGGGAUGCUCAUGCUCUUUUGAAUAUGGAAGUGCCUCAGAGAAUGCAUUGGGUAGGUGCUUUCCUAGCAAAUCUGUUAGUCAGACAAUAAGAAUAAACUCUCCACACAGGCAGGUUAGAAGCCUUAAUAACAAAAUUUUAUGUUCAGUUACGUGUUUCCACCCACAGAGUAUGUGAAAGGGCCAGGCACUUAGAAGAUUUUUCAAGUUUCUUUGUACCAAUUGCCUUUGAGGAUGUCGGCUUUCUGUCCAUUUUCUUUCUCUCAGGUCUUGUUUUUUCACUCUGCCCGUUCUCACUCAUCUCUUGGGGGACUUUCAUUUUCGUAUAUUUGUAAAUCUUUCCAGUGCCUGUUCUUGCCAGGGAUCAUUGUUUCCUUAAGCAGCAGUAGCAGCCUCAAAUGAUUACAUUUUCAUCUGUUUCACUGCAUUAUGGAUUGGAUUAUGCAAAAGAAGCAAUAAAACAGACUUUGAUUUUAUUGAUGAGUCCAUAGCAGCUUAGAAUAGCUUUGAACAAAGAGUAGCAUCCUCCCUGCAGACUCAAUUUUGCAUUGAUUCAUUCAGAAAGUUCUUGUAAUUACUCUACAAACUAGGAAUGCCAUUCUUUCACAUGAUAAUCUGGGGGUUUGUGCAUAAAUUGCAGGUAUAGAAAAUACUAGAUUUCACAAAAAGUAACUAACUGUUAGAAAGCUCUCCUCAAUACAAGAAUACUUUCUAUACGUUUAGAACAGGAAUUUAGAAAUAUAUGGUCUGGUUAACCAAAUAUUGCAUUGUAUGAUAGGUAGGCAGUGAUGAGACUACAGUAGGAAAUCCAAAGGCAGUCAAGAGGGACUUCAGGGCCUUAGGAUGACAGGUUAAGGGAUCAGGAGCACAAGUAGUGUUUUCCUCCAGUUGCAGGGUACAAUGAGAAAGAUAUUGAAGACCCACCAGAUCAAUACCUGGCUGCGGGACUAGUGUCAUAGAAUCAUAGAAUGUCCUGAAUGCCAUGAGCAGAAUUUCAGGUUUUUAGGUCAUAGGUUGGUUUACAUGACACCUGGCCUGCUGGCAACAAAUGGAACACACCUGUCUCAAAGACAGUAAAGGAUCCUUGGACAGGAGUUAGCAGAGCUCAUAAGAAGGGCUUUAAACUAGAUUUGAAGGGGGAAGGGGAGAAAACCAGAUGUGGCAGAGGCAAACCCAAUCAUGGCAUGUGAGCAUUUGGGGGAUGGGGUGCUACCGAGCGCAUUCAGUCAGCUGUCUCAGUAGAGGCAGGGGAUGGAGAGUCAUGUGGUAACAAAGACACAAUGGUUAUAGGUGUGUUAGAAACCACAGAAGCACCUGAAAAUGAUCACAAAGGAACUGGGGCUUCUUGCUGCGAAAAGGUGGCAGGAUCAGUAGCCCAGCUGGACUGCAGCUAUACAAAUGCAUCUAUGCUUCUAUGCAAAUGCAUCUAUACAAAUGCUUGGAGCAUGGGCAACAAACAGCAUAAGCUGGAAGCCAUCGUGCAGCAGAAAAACUAGCAUGUAAUUGCCAUCAGUAGAUGACUCCCACAGCUGGAGUGCGGCAUUGGAUGGCUAUAAACUCUUCAGAAGGGACAGGCGAGGAAGGAGAGGAGGUGGGGUACCCCUGUAUGUUAGGGAGUGUUUUGAUUGUCUGGAGCUUGACAAGGGAAAUGAUAGCUUGAUGAGUGUUUGUGGGUAAGAAUCGGGGAAAGCCAGCAAGACAGAUAAUCCUGGUGAACGUGUGUUACAGACCACCCUACCAGGAUAAAGAGGCAGGUGAAAUAUUCUGCUGGUAGCCGCGUGAGGUAUCCCAAUCGCUAGCCCUUGUUCUCCUGGGGAACUUCAGCCUACCAAAUGUCUGCUGGAAAUACAACACAGCAGAGAGGAAACAGUCUAGGAGGCUCCUGGAGUGUAUGGAAGACAACUUCCUGACACAGCUGGUUGGUGAGACAGCUAGGGAAGGUGCCCCACUGGACCUGUUGUUUGUCAACAGAGAAGGACUUGUGGGUAAUGUGUUGGUUGGAGAUGGUCUUUCACAUAGUGAUCGUGAAAUUAUUGAAUUUUCUGUUCUUGGAGAAGUAAGGAGGAUUGUCAGCAGAAGACCACAUCUGGAAUAUUGUGUCCAAUUCUGGGCCCCUCAGUUCCAGAAGGACAGGGAACUGCUGGAGAGGGUCCAGCAUAGGGCAACGAAGAUGAUUAAGGGAGUGGAGCAUCUCCCUUAUGAAGAAAGGCUGAGGGAGCUGGGGCUCUUUAGUUUGGAGAAGAGCAGACUAAGGGGGGGACCUCAUUAAUGUUUAUAAAUAUAUAAAGGGUGAGUGCCAUGAGGAUGGAGCCAGGCUCUUCUCGGUGGCAAACAAUGACAGGACAAGGGGUAAUGGGAUCAAGCUGGAACACAAGAGGUUCCGCUUAAAUUUGAGAAAAAACUUCUUCUCAGUGAGGGUGACAGACACUGGAACAGGCUGCCCAGGGAGGUUGUGGAGUCUCCUUCUCUGCAGACAUUCAAAACCCGCCUGGACAUGUUCCUGUGCGACCUCACCUAGGCGUUCCUGCUCUGGCAGGGGGAUUGGACUAGAUGAUCUUUUGAGGUCCCUUCCAAUCCCAAACAUACUGUGAUACUGUGAUACUGUGUAACUGCUACCUUGGACUUCCAAAGGGCAGACUUUGACCUGUUUGUGAGGCUGGUUGGCAGAGUCCCUUGGGAGGCAGUCCCAAAGGACAAAGAAGUCCAGGAAGGCUGGUCGCUCUUCAAGAAGGAAAUCUUAGAGGCUCAGGAGCAGGCUGUCCCUGUGUGCCGAAAGAUGAGCCGGUGGGUAAGAAGCCCAGCCUGGCUGAAGAGAGAGCUUUGGCUGGAACUUGGGAAUUAAAGGAGAAUAUAUGACUUUGGAAGAAGGGACAGGCUACUCAAGAUUACCAGGAUGCCGUGAAGUUAUGCAGGAAGAAAAUUAGAAGGGCCAAAGGCCAACUAGAGCUGAACCUGGCUACUACUGUAAAGGGAAACAAACAUGCUUCUAUAAAUACAUCAGCAACAAAGGAAAGGCUCUAGAGAAUCUUCAUCUGCUGGUGGAUAUGGGGAGCAACAGUGACAGAAGAUGAGGGAAAGGCUGAGGUACUAAAUGCCUUCUUUGCCUCACUGUUUAAUAGUCAGACCAGUUGUUCUCUAGGUAUCCGGCCCCAUGAGCCAGAGACAGGGAUAGGGAGCAGAAUGAAGCCCAAAUAAUCCAAGGGGAAAUGGUUAGCAACUUGCUGCACCACUUGGACACACACAAGUAUAUGGGGCCAGAUGGGAUUCACCCAAGGGUGCUGAGGGAGCUGGUGGAGGUGCUCACCAAGCCACAUUCCCAUCAGCAGUUCUGGCUGACUGGGGCUGUCCCAGUUGACGGGAAGUUGGCAGGGAGUGCAGGAAGAAGAGGUGUACAGGGAAGACAGUGUUGAUUGCAGUGGAAAACAGAGCAAGUCUGGAGGGCAGUAAUGCAACAGGAGCUGGGGAUAAAGGAGAGGGUGCAAGAGCUGCCUUGGGACUAUAAAACCUAAAGACAAUGGCAGGAAGAAAUAAGUAGCCUGCUCUUCUGGCAUUUGAAGACUUUUUGUAAAGUGACACUUCACCAAUUUAGGUCCACUUUGAUAGCCUCCUGGUACAUUUUCUUCAGAAGCAGAAAUAACUGUUUGUUGUUGUUCACCUGUGACUCAAAUCAAAUAUUUAUUAGCCCAAAAGUAGGCAGAGGUCACGAAGAUGAAAACGGACUGCAUAGCAAUGCACAGCGCAAAUUCUAAAUCUUCUCUCCUUGCAAUAAAAACGGCUGUAAUAUCAAGAAUAUAGGAGGCAUCCCUUUUUCUAGAAAGAAGCCACUGUCACUAAACUUUUUACACAGAUUGGUUAGUUCCUUGCUCCUUGGUUUAGUUUGCCAGUUGAACAUGUGAGUUUGUAGCUGCAACAUUACUACAGUGCCAGCAUGUCAGCUAAACUGUAUCUUGUGAAGCAUUUCUGGACCCAGAAACCAAUGUGUUCAGGUGGCUUGCUAUAGAGUAAGAAGCACCAGGAACUUCCUCGUAAGAAAUCUCCAUUUUCUAAAACAUUUUAUACAAGAUUUCCAUGGUGCAAAUAUCACUCUCUUAAGGGAGAAGUUGCUGUAACAAAUUUUUUUGCCUUGCACAUUGAAGUUGUUAGCCAUUUUAUAUGUAAAGGAAACUGAAAUUCAUAUACAGUUCUUUGUUUGGAAAUAAGCUUGUGGUAAACCUGAAAUUGCACUCACAUGCUAACAACAAAAAAGCUUCAAGUUCCUGCAGCGCUAUGUACUCAAUUCAACCUACACUUUGUAUUUAAAUAAAACAGAAGCGUGCCAAAGAGAACUGAUUAAGAAAAUAAGAAAAUAUUUACUGUAGGUUUUGAUAAAUUGCACCUUAAAUCAACAAGUCAAUGAGACAUAACGCUAUAUUUAAAUUAAACAUUGUAAACUAUAUGGAAGUGUUAAUCUAAGCAUCUGUAUGUUUUUACAAAAUAAAGAAAAUGUACAGAUUGAGUAAAUCCAUCUUUUAUCUGUGCGGAAAUAGUAUGAGACAGUCUUUAUUUGUACAGCUUUGCUUAUGAGAAGAGAAAACCCACGAGUUUCCACAACUAGGCUGUUGUCUACGCUUUGUCUUUGCCUUUUUAAGUCUCCCUUUUAUGAUCACCCCAUUAUGUAGUCACCUUGUUAUGAUGUACUGUGAACGGUGUUCCUAACUAACGUGUUCUAAAUAAAUAAUGUCUCUCUUUACUCUGGUUUUAAGCCUACCAUCCUCUUCUUAUUGUAUUGAGUUCCUUUAAGCUAUUGCAAGAUAAAAAAAACCAGUUGAAUUUAGGAUUUAUCUUCACUAGUGACUCAGCUGUGGCUUUGGCAAGAAUUACUUCCUUCUUCCAAUAAAAUAAAUACUUGAGAGCACAGUGCUGAGAUUGCAAGGAAGCCCUCUCUAUAUGUGACCUGGGUUGGGAGUAUACUAUUAAAUAAAGGCAAAGCAGGGGAUUCUUUAUUUGUUAUUUAUUUGUGUUUGUAUAUAUUUACUUCAACUAAGCAGGGGUUGAUGAUGCUGUUUUGCCAUCUAUUCACCAUCAAAAGAUACUGAAGAUACUUUUAAGUCCAAGGAUGUUUUUCCUGACACAAUAUUCUGAGUAUGUACCUUCUAUAUAUGUGGCAACAUCCCGUGUGGACGAUGUGUCCUCUUCGCUGUAGCCUCCUGGUCUAGAAGCUUUAGAGGGUGGUGGAGAGUCUCCCUUCAGAAAAUGACCUGUGAGUUUUGGCCAUUUACACUGUGUUGUUAUCUUCCCAUAAGGUCUUUGAGGCUUCAGAAUGUAUCACAGGAUUGGACCCUGCCUUUUGUGUAGCCUGUGAGUCUUUAAAUCGUAGAAGGUGGUGUAAUCCACUCACACAUUCCCCCUGAAAUAAUCAGGGGCUUGAACUGGACUCUUAACGCUGAAACAAGAAAGCAGCUGGACAUAAACACACAUGGGUCUCUCAACACGCACAGCUAGAUCAGCUCCACAAGAGUCUGAGCUGCGUAAAAACAGUCUUGACACGUACAGUUCACUUGUUGCUUUCCCUGAUAAGAACAGAAACUGCCCAGUUCGAGAUCUUGAGAGAUACAACCAGCCACUCCCACAAGCCCUUGGUCAGGUUCCUCCCGUAAGUUUCAGUUUUCAGGCACCAUUUGACUGUGUACAAUGUACUUUGGAGCAUCUCCUGUCACUCAGUGAGAUGUUGAACAGAGGAACAUGCACAGCUGCUACAGACAGGCAAUUUUCCUGUUUUUCUGUGUUUCUGCUUGCAGCUUUUCCUUGCUCAAGCACUUGGCAGCACUUGGUGAACUGCAGAGCACAAGGAAGGUGGUGGGGUUGCUAGGCAAGGAACAGCAACCAAGUCACAGCACCUUGACCAUGGCACCAGUAUUGAAUGUUGAAAUUGUGGAAAGUGUAAUGGGGAAAGGCUGUGAUCUGUUUAUAAAUACUCUUUCUGGAAUCCAUUGACUCCAAUCUCCAGUGACUAUUGGCAAACGCAAAAAAGUCUUGAGUAGACAAGAUUUUUUUUUCUGACCUACUGCUCCUCAUAGAGUUUAUCAAGUGUUGCACUGAUCUUCACAGUCUCAACUGGCCCCAAAAAACUACAUCAUCACCACCAUUCAGAAAAAUGUGUGAGGAGAAAGGGGCAACAGAGAGAAGCUGUCAUAGACCGACCCUAAUCCCCAUUCCCCAUCCCCCUGCUCUGCUCAGGGUGGGAUGGAGGAAGAAGAGUCAGCAAUGAAGCUGAACCUGGGAAGGAGGGGUUUGGGUGGGAAUGUGAUUUAGAUUUUGUUUGUCACCAUCUAACUCUAUUUUUAGUUAGCAAUAAAUCAGUUUUCCCCAAGUUGUGUCUGUUUUGCCUGUGACAGUAACUGGUCUGUGAUCUUCCUGUCCUUACCUCAACCCAUGUUCUUUCCUAUCUUAUUUUUCCCUACUGCCCUGUUGAGGAGGCGUGAGAGAGUGGACAGCUGGUGGCUGGCCAAGGCUAACCCACCACAAUGAUGUAUACUAUAUAUACACAUAUAGAAUUAUGAAUUAGUGUAUAAAUGUUUAUAAAUGUAUAUUUUAUUUAUUUAUACAAAGAUACAUUAUACACUGUGCUACAUGAUACAGCUACUACUACCCUACACAAUAUAAUAGAUAAUACACAUGCAUUUAUCAAGAUACAGAAAGAUAUGUAGCCCUAACAGCAAAGGUAUAAAAUGGGUUCAACAUUCUUUAAUAAGAGCUGAUGGAAUGAGUAGGCCAGGUCAGGUCCUGCACUUUACCAGGCUGCAGAACAGGGACUAUGUGUCCAAUGGGGGAACUUGGAAAGGACAGAGGGGCACCAAAAGGGUGGUGGGCACAGACAUGUUCCCGAGGGCUAUGGACCCUCCCAGGAGGCCAUCAGGAAGCCCCUGGUGCAAAUCCUGUCACGUGCAGAGACUGAUCCUGUGAGCUGGACCAAAAAGGAAAAGACUUAAAGGGAAUCCCCCAAACAACCAUGUGAACCAGAAGAAUCAGCCAAUGGGCUUGUGAACCACAAACUGGAUUUGGAGGUAAGUGUCAAACAUGGGGUGAAUGGCUGGGGGAGUUCCCUUUGCCCGUGGUUGUGAGGGAUCUUCUAACUGCCUGUAAGACCACUAUGGGGGCACCUUACCAAAGUGAAGCAAAGUGUGAGAUCAGCAAGAGAUUCUCUUAAAUGCCGUGUGAAACAAGGUAGCUCUAAUUUGCUGCUGGUAAUAAUAGAGCGUGGCUGUUGAUAUUACCACCUAUCUCAAACAAAUCUUUGUCAAACUCUAGGCAGGCUUGUGCUGUUUUUUCUGUUCAGAUGGACUGUUCACAAAAGAAAACACUGUUUGGGAUGGACAGGUGGCAAUACCUGGCUAGAGGGGGCAGAAUGUGAACACACAGGUGGGAGUUCCAGACAGUGAUUUCCUCCUUGUGAAGCAGCGAACGGACCUGAAUUAAAUCAGUCUUUCAGUAAUUUCAGGAGACAGGGAUCCCGAUGUCUUUCUUCUUCAUUGGCUUAGGUUGGAUGUCUUACUCCAGUAGUUUGUUUUUUCAGUGAGGACCUCUGAAGGUUCUCAUCCAGAGUCCAUUCCCAUGGAUAGAAAUCCUUGGGGAGCUGGGGGUGGGGGAAGCCAAAUCCAUAUGUCGGUAUGAUAUGAUACCAAUUUUCGUGUGCCAUCUGUUCUGCCCCUUUUCCUAUGCAAACUAUUCAUAAUCCAGUCAGCAUAUUGUGAAAUGACAAAGAAGUCACGCAGUCCAGGAAGACCUGUGCACUUCUCUUUCGAGAAAUGGCUCGUUAAAAAUCAGUCCUUCAUGUUCAUGCAUGUUUCCCUGGAGUUCCUAGAAAUGAAAGAGGCAUUAUCUAAUGGAGGCAGUGUCACUGGCGUAGUUUCUCCAGAUAGAAGGACCUUAACACGGGUACAUAACGUAACUGAGCUUACAAAGAGCGAUUCCUGUAAGCAACGUUUUGUGUGGUAUCUUUUUGACUGUAGUGCUAAUGUAUUGAAAGUGAAAGUACCAAUGUAAGAUUAAUUGCCAAUAAUAGUCACUGAAAUACCUCUUUUUUUUUUUUUUUCCUGCUUCAUCUGUGAAGCAUCAAGUACCUGAGUUAUUAAUUAAUGAAAAGGGUAUCUCUUCUGUUAUAAUGCACUCUAGUGGAACAGUUCCACAAGAAGGGCUGAUGGUUCAGAAGACAGGGAUGGAACCUUUGGAGAUCGAUGUGCAGCCGUGUGCUGUGGACUGCAAGUUGACACCAGUUUCUCUGAGCAGAGUUCAGGUCAGGUGUCCAUCCUGCACCCAUGUUGCUGAGUGAGAGAGUUUUUCACUGUGGCAGGCCUUGCUGGGUAGGCAGACAAGUAGAAUGACGUUGCUGACUUUCUGCAACCAUAUUCUGUCCCUUCCUGUUCAGCACUUGCCAUCUACCCUCAGCACGACUCUGGGGACGUGGAUCUGAUCUAAAAUUGCUUUCUCCGCAAGACAAGGAAACAAUGACUGUGCAGACGGUUCAACUCCUAGCAGGCCACAUAGAGAAGCCCCAAAUGCAGUCUGACCCAGGAGGAUACAGAUUGAGAAGUGCUGUGGGAGCUGCACCUGCACAAGUUUUCCCUUGUCUUUAAGGUGAAAUGCCAGUGUGGAUCUCAGCUGGGAGAAAAUGGACCAGAGGGUGUGAAAUCCCCUCAGCAUGGACCAAGCAGCACUUUGCUUCUGGGAGUGUUAACAUCACAGGUCGAGGGCCACUGCUGCUGACCUGACGGCGUGUCCUGGUUACCUGCCUUGCGGGCGUGUCAGGAUUUUUGACCAUUUCACUGCCAUCCUACCCUUGAUCCAUACAUACGCUUGUGUAGCUGUUGGUUGCCACUUACCUCCCUGACGAGGCUGGCCAAGUGCAGGGAUGCUCUGUUGCUAUGGAGUGCAGCAGAACAGAGGCGAGAAGGGGUGUUUUGGAUUUCCAUUUGUGAAUGAGCACAGCAGUGAUAUCUGUAGCAUCGGAAGAAAACAUAUAGGUUUAAAUAGCACUGUGUACCUGAGAAACAAAGGACUACACAGCUGCGUCCAUAUGCACCCGCUGUCAUUGACAAGAGAACUGGUGAAUCACUCUAUUUGUUUUCUUUUUCUGGUUACAGUAAUAACAGUUAUUUCAACAGGACAUCACUUUUCCCUGCAGUCCACCCGUCUCUUUCCCUCCUGUCGUCCAGAAAGGGUACUGCAACCUUCUGCUCUUCAGCAUUGGCUUACAAAAGGCUAUUGCAGUCUGUCACUGGUUCUUAUCACAAUGACAAAUCCAAGCCUGAGUUAUUUAUUUCACAGUCAAGGGAGGGGCUGUAAAUCCAAGUCACGGAUGCUUCCUUCCACGCUCUUCUGGACAGGCUGUGAGUGGGAAUUGCCCACCUCAGAAGGAAGAAGUGACGGAAUUCCUGCUGUUACUCUAAGGUUUUGUAUUGUAGCACAGCCCAAACAAGAAGACUGUGAUGAUUAAUAACCUCGUAGGAGUUCAGUGGUAAGAGAUCUUGCAUGACUCAGGCUUUCAGGAUGAGGCCCUCCAUUUCACUGCAGCAAUUUCCCUUUUGUUUUGCUAACUGGUCACAUCUGUGUGUAGUUACAAUAACAUUACAAGUCUCUGUGAGUCUUGCAUGUGCCUGAGGGAACCACUAUAAGGAAAGAAGGGGAAUGUAUGAACAAGGAUGAAUGAAUCAGUGUUGCUUUGUGCAAGAGGCAGAAAUCAAAUUAACAUUUCCUUUUGCUU